UACGGGGGGGGCAAGCGUUGUUCGGAAUUACUGGGCGUAAAGAGUGCGUAGGUGGUGCCCUAAGUCUGUUGUGAAAUCUCCCGGCUUAACUGGGAGGGUGCGGUGGAAACUGGGGUGCUUGAGUGUGGGAGAGGUAAGCGGAAUUCCACGUGUAGCGGUGAAAUGCGUAGAGAUGUGGAGGAACACCGAUGGCGAAGGCAGCCUUCUGGGCCAACACUGACGCUCAUGCACGAAAGCGUGGGGAGCAAACAGG
rnacentral:rRNA from 1 species